UACGGGGGGUGCGAGCGUUGUCCGGAAUUAUUGGGCGUAAAGGGCUCGUAGGCGGUUUGUCGCGUCGGGAGUGAAAUCCACUGGCUUAACUGGUGGCUUGCUUUCGAUACGGGCAGACUGGAGGUAUGCAGGGGAGAACGGAAUUCCUGGUGUAGCGGUGAAAUGCGCAGAUAUCAGGAGGAACACCGGUGGCGAAGGCGGUUCUCUGGGCAUGUCCUGACGCUGAGGAGCGAAAGUGUGGGGAGCGAACAGGG
rnacentral:rRNA from 1 species